rnacentral:rRNA from 1 species
GAAAAACUCCGGUGGUAUGAGAUGGACCCGCGUCUGAUUAGCCAGUUGGCAGGGUAACGGCCUACCAAAGCGACGAUCAGUAGCCGACCUGAGAGGGUGACCGGCCACAUUGGGACUGAGACACGGCCCAAACUCCUACGGGAGGCAGCAGUGGGGAAUAUUGCACAAUGGGGGAAACCCUGAUGCAGCGACGCCGCGUGAGCGAAGAAGUAUUUCGGUAUGUAAAGCUCUAUCAGCAGGGAAGAAGAAUGACGGUACCUGACUAAGAAGCACCGGCUAAAUACGUGCCAGCAGCCGCGGUAAUACGUAUGGUGCAAGCGUUAUCCGGAUUUACUGGGUGUAAAGGGAGCGCAGGCGGUGCGGCAAGUCUGAUGUGAAAGCCCGGGGCUCAACCCCGGUACUGCAUUGGAAACUGUCGUACUAGAGUGUCGGAGGGGUAAGUGGAAUUCCUAGUGUAGCGGUGAAAUGCGUAGAUAUUAGGAGGAACACCAGUGGCGAAGGCGGCUUACUGGACGAUAACUGACGCUGAGGCUCGAAAGCGUGGGGAGCAAACAGGAUUAGAUACCCUGGUAGUCCACGCCGUAAACGAUGUAUACUAGGUGUCGGGGAGCAUUGCUCUUCGGUGCC